UUAAGUUAUUAAGGGCGCACGGUGGAUGCCUUGGCACUAGAAGCCGAUGAAGGACGUUACUAACGACGAUAUGCUUUGGGGAGCUGUAAGUAAGCUUUGAUCCAGAGAUUUCCGAAUGGGGAAACCCAGCAUGAGUUAUGUCAUGUUAUCGAUAUGUGAAUACAUAGCAUAUCAGAAGGCACACCCGGAGAACUGAAACAUCUUAGUACCCGGAGGAAGAGAAAGAAAAUUCGAUUCCCUUAGUAGCGGCGAGCGAAACGGGAAGAGCCCAAACCAAAAAGCUUGCUUGUUGGGGUUGUAGGACACUCUAUACGGAGUUACAAAGGACGACAUUAGACGAAUCAUCUGGAAAGAUGAAUCAAAGAAGGUAAUAAUCCUGUAGUCGAAAAUGUUGUCUCUCUUGAGUGGAUCCUGAGUACGACGGAGCACGUGAAAUUCCGUCGGAAUCUGGGAGGACCAUCUCCUAAGGCUAAAUACUCUCUAGUGACCGAUAGUGAACCAGUACCGUGAGGGAAAGGUGAAAAGCACCCCGGAAGGAGAGUGAAAUAGAACCUGAAACCGUGUGCUUACAAGUAGUCAGAGCCCGUUAAUGGGUGAUGGCGUGCCUUUUGUAGAAUGAACCGGCGAGUUACGAUUUGAUGCAAGGUUAAGCAGUAAAUGUGGAGCCGUAGCGAAAGCGAGUCUGAAUAGGGCGUUUAGUAUUUGGUCGUAGACCCGAAACCAGGUGAUCUACCCUUGGUCAGGUUGAAGUUCAGGUAACACUGAAUGGAGGACCGAACCGACUUACGUUGAAAAGUGAGCGGAUGAACUGAGGGUAGCGGAGAAAUUCCAAUCGAACCUGGAGAUAGCUGGUUCUCUCCGAAAUAGCUUUAGGGCUAGCCUCAAGUGAUGAUUAUUGGAGGUAGAGCACUGUUUGGACGAGGGGCCCCUCUCGGGUUACCGAAUUCAGACAAACUCCGAAUGCCAAUUAAUUUAACUUGGGAGUCAGAACAUGGGUGAUAAGGUCCGUGUUCGAAAGGGAAACAGCCCAGACCACCAGCUAAGGUCCCAAAAUAUAUGUUAAGUGGAAAAGGAUGUGGCGUUGCCCAGACAACUAGGAUGUUGGCUUAGAAGCAGCCAUCAUUUAAAGAGUGCGUAAUAGCUCACUAGUCGAGUGACACUGCGCCGAAAAUGUACCGGGGCUAAACAUAUUACCGAAGCUGUGGAUUGUCCUUUGGACAAUGGUAGGAGAGCGUUCUAAGGGCGUUGAAGCAUGAUCGUAAGGACAUGUGGAGCGCUUAGAAGUGAGAAUGCCGGUGUGAGUAGCGAAAGACGGGUGAGAAUCCCGUCCACCGAUUGACUAAGGUUUCCAGAGGAAGGCUCGUCCGCUCUGGGUUAGUCGGGUCCUAAGCUGAGGCCGACAGGCGUAGGCGAUGGAUAACAGGUUGAUAUUCCUGUACCACCUAUAAUCGUUUUAAUCGAUGGGGGGACGCAGUAGGAUAGGCGAAGCGUGCGAUUGGAUUGCACGUCUAAGCAGUAAGGCUGAGUAUUAGGCAAAUCCGGUACUCGUUAAGGCUGAGCUGUGAUGGGGAGAAGACAUUGAGUCUUCGAGUCGUUGAUUUCACACUGCCGAGAAAAGCCUCUAGAUAGAAAAUAGGUGCCCGUACCGCAAACCGACACAGGUAGUCAAGAUGAGAAUUCUAAGGUGAGCGAGCGAACUCUCGUUAAGGAACUCGGCAAAAUGACCCCGUAACUUCGGGAGAAGGGGUGCUCUUUAGGGUUAACGCCCAGAAGAGCCGCAGUGAAUAGGCCCAAGCGACUGUUUAUCAAAAACACAGGUCUCUGCUAAACCGUAAGGUGAUGUAUAGGGGCUGACGCCUGCCCGGUGCUGGAAGGUUAAGAGGAGUGGUUAGCUUCUGCGAAGCUACGAAUCGAAGCCCCAGUAAACGGCGGCCGUAACUAUAACGGUCCUAAGGUAGCGAAAUUCCUUGUCGGGGAAGUUCCGACCCGCACGAAAGGCGUAACGAUUUGGGCACUGUCUCAACGAGAGACUCGGUGAAAUCAUAGUACCUGUGAAGAUGCAGGUUACCCGCGACAGGACGGAAAGACCCCGUGGAGCUUUACUGUAGCCUGAUAUUGAAAUUCGGCACAGCUUGUACAGGAUAGGUAGGAGCCUUUGAAACGUGAGCGCUAGCUUACGUGGAGGCGCUGGUGGGAUACUACCCUAGCUGUGUUGGCUUUCUAACCCGCACCACUUAUCGUGGUGGGAGACAGUGUCAGGCGGGCAGUUUGACUGGGGCGGUCGCCUCCUAAAAGGUAACGGAGGCGCUCAAAGGUUCCCUCAGAAUGGUUGGAAAUCAUUCAUAGAGUGUAAAGGCAUAAGGGAGCUUGACUGCGAGACCUACAAGUCGAGCAGGGUCGA
rnacentral:rRNA from 1 species